AGUCGCUGGCAAAGCACGCUCCACGGCAGCAGCCGCGAGAGUAGCAAGAAAGGGGAGGGGGGUAAAAAUAAAAAAAUAGAGAGAGGUAGAGAGGGUUCGAGAGAGGCAGAGAAUAGGGAGAGGGAGACAGAGGUCAAAGAGCGGAGGAAAUUCGCUACACGUGUUCGUCGUUCGUUUUCCAUGGAACGCGGAGGAAAGAAGUAACAAAAGAGCGGAGAUUCAGCGAAGAGGAGAUACCGUGAAUCGAGCGAAUUGCGAUAAAAUGGCGGGACGAUAAACGAAAGAAAGUGGUUGGACGCAUCGCGUGUGACAGUAUAGUCAGUAUAUCGUUGCGUGUCUCGUGCGGUUCCGGUCACAUGGAUCACGUGGUAGCCCGUGCCCCUUCCCUGCCUGACCGCGGGGGUUCCUCCGGUAGGCGGUGGGGAUGUCAACCGUGAUUGGGAGGGAUAUAGAAAAGGAGAAGUGGUAGACGGUUCCUAGGAUAGAAAAAGGAGGAGAUGGAGGAGAAUGAAAAGGAUAGAGAGAAGUCGAAAAGGUUGCUUCGACACCGGUGACGAUCACGUGGGGCGAUGGACGCGUGACGCCGCAGCCUGACCGCAAGCUCGUUACGCCUGUCGGAAGUAUAAAUCAACCGCAAAGUUAUUCCGUGCUGUCGGGAACUCCCCGUAAGGCGCCUCGUUGGAAACUGCUACCACCUUCUUGUCCGCGAUAUCCUUUGCGCAGGAGAUAGCGACCAGGAAAUGGAGAAAAGCCGGAAAGGCGAUAAUCAGCAGGCAACCGCACAAGGAUAUUCUUAACUUCGAGAAACGAAUUUAUUCUUCGCGCAACUUCUGUUCCACGAUCGAGUUUAGCAAAGUAUCUUGCGCUUCGCUUGAACAAUAAAUAAAUAUUCCAACUCA